rnacentral:rRNA from 1 species
CCCUUAGAUGUUCUGGGCCGCACGCGCGCUACACUGAUGCAUUCAACGAGUCUAAAACCUGCUCUGAUAGGGGUGGGUCAUCUUUUGAAUGUGCAUCGUGAUUGGGAUAGAUGAUUGCAAUUUUUCAUCUUCAACGAGGAAUGCCUAGUAAACGCAAGUCAUCAGCUUGCAUUGAUUACGUCCCUGCCCUUUGUACACACCGCCCGUCGCUCCUACCGAUUGAAUGAUCCGAUGAAUAUCAUGGAUUGAGGAUGCAAUCAGGUUCGCCUGUCUUCAUCUUCGAGAAGUGAAGUAAAUCUUAUCAUUUAGAGGAAGGAGAAGUCGUAACA